rnacentral:lncRNA from 1 species
GCAAAUAUAUUUCAUAAACGAUUCAUUUAUCACAAAGUCUUCUCUGACCAUUGGCAAAGAAAUUACAGUAUGAUGAAUACACCAAGCUCAAAUGGGCUUCCAUAAGUGGACACUAAUCAAUCCUACUCUUUGUGCUAUUUGGAUUUGUUGCUGCUGCUCCAUAAGAUCUACCAUCUCUUGAGGCCUCAAGUUUCUGCAGGAAUCAGGACAAUACAAAACCACCUAUUAUUUAGGCAGAGAGUAUUACAUAUGGAAUAUUGAAUGACCAUGAAGUGUGUACAAAAAUGUUAAGCCAAUACAGAGAUUUAGGUAAAUUAAUUCAUACCUUGUUUAUGCUUAAUUUGAUCACUGCUUUUAAUAGAUCGUCGCCAAUAAUUUGCCUUACUUUUCGUAUCAUUUGAGGACUUGAAAUCUU